rnacentral:rRNA from 1 species
UGGUUCAAUUCGACGCAACGCGCAGAACCUUACCAGCCCUUGACAUGUGACUCGCCGGCUCCAGAGACGGAGCCUUCGGUUCGGCCGGAGUCAGCACAGGUGCUGCAUGGCUGUCGUCAGCUCGUGUCGUGAGAUGUUGGGUUAAGUCCCGCAACGAGCGCAACCCUCGUCUCCAGUUGCCAUCAGGUUAUGCUGGGCACUUUGGAGAAACUGCCGGUGACAAGCCGGAGGAAGGUGGGGAUGACGUCAAGUCCUCAUGGCCCUUACGGGCUGGGCUACACACGUGCUACAAUGGCGGUGACAGUGGGAUGCGAAGGGGCGACCCGGAGCCGAUCCCCAAAAGCCGUCCCAGUUCGGAUUGCACUCUGCAACUCGAGUGCAUGAAGUUGGAAUCGCUAGUAAUCGCGGAUCAGCAUGCCCGCGGUCGAAUACGUUCCGGGCCUU